GAAUCUUGGGCAAUGGGCGCAAGCCUGACCCAGCCAUGCCGCGUGUGUGAAGAAGGCCCUCGGGUUGUAAAGCACUUUCAGUAGUGAAGAAAAGCGCGAGGCCAAUACCCUCGAGUCUUGGCGUUAGCUACAGAAGAAGCACCGGCUAACUCCGGGCCAGCAGCCGCGGUGAUACGGACGGUGCGAACGUUAAUCGGAAUUACUGGGCGUAAAGCGCACGUAGGCGGUCCGCUAAGUGGGAUGUGAAAGCCCUGGGCUUAACCUGGGAAUGGCAUUUCAGACUGGCGGACUAGAGUACAGUAGAGGGCGGUGGAAUUCCCUGUGUAGCGGUGAAAUGCGUAGAUAUAGGGAGGAACAUCAGUGGCGAAGGCGGCCGCCUGGACUGAUACUGACGCUGAGGUGCGAAAGCGUGGGGAGCAAACAGG
rnacentral:rRNA from 1 species